rnacentral:rRNA from 1 species
UACAGAGGUGCCAAGCGUUAGGCGGAAUCACUGGGCUUAAAGCGCGUGUAGGCGGGUCGUUAAGUGUCUUGUGAAAUCCCACGGCUCAACCGUGGAACUGCUGGGCAUACUGACGAUCUUGAGGCACUCAGGGGCUGUCGGAACAAAUGGUGGAGCGGUGAAAUGCGUAGAUAUCGUCUGGAACGCCAAAGGUGAAAACAGGUAGCUGGGAGUGUGCUGACGCUGAGACACGAAAGCCAGGGGAGCAAACGGG